rnacentral:lncRNA from 1 species
CUUUUAUUUAAAGAGCAAGUAUUCCUAUUCUUUUCUUUUAUUUAAAGAGCAAUUAUUUCAAUUCUCUUUUGAUAAUACAAGUUUUAUAUUUAUGACUUGUACUUCCUGCAAGCAUGAUUAUCGAUUUCUGAUAUUUAAAAGUGCAAAUGCUUUCACGUGUUAUCCUGUGAUUGAAAAUAUCGAAUGUCUUUAGUUCGAUACUAUUUACUGUUAUAUGAAUAGUGACAAUUUUAUUUGAAAAGUAUUCUGAUUAUUUUAAUCAGUUUUCUGGAAAUUAUUGUCUGAGUUCUUUUACAGUUUGAAAACUAUUGUUGACUCGGUAGUAGUAUCAUUUCGAUGCUACAAUAUAUGCCUGGUCUUCUGUCCCAGACAUAAACCCUGGAUUUUAAAAUAGCGAAAAUAGUUUUGUGUAUUCUCUCGAGCCGUAUUGCGAUGGAUUUUUAAAUUGUACUCAGACUUUGUGGUCUCUCUCGAGCCGUAUUGCGGUGGAUUUUUAAAUUGUACUCAGACUUUGUUGAAAUUGAUUUUGACAGUAUUUUGAGUUUGAAAACGAAAGAGUUUUCAUAAAAAGUUUUGAAAGAGAUGAUUGUAUGGCGUGAGGGACGAAUUAAUUGUCCAGCCAAGUAGACCAGCAAAAAUAUUUUGUUUUGAUUGGAUGAAUGCGUAAGAGGCCGUGACGGCGGUCCAGUGAGGGCUAUAUACGUAUUAUUGAAACAUUAUAAUACCUCUGCCAAAGGCCAAUGUGUUGCCUUAUAUUUGGUACCUAUCGUAACGGAUAUACUUCUACGAAGUAUGAUCCAGUGCUAUCACAUGGUCUGAUCAGUUGUGAUAGUGCACCCGUCAGUUGUGGAUUCCAAUCCAAAAACUGGUCAUUACUGUUUAAGCUUAUGAUAGCUUAUGUUUACUGUCAAAUUUAUUUUGUGAUUUUCAAGCAUAUUGAUUUAUAUGUUUGAUAAACUUUUGAGUUAUUGUUUUAGAAUUUCAAAUACUCUGAGUUAAUUCAAAAGAAUUAUAUAUUGUGGCUCUUGCCUUUCAUAUUAUCUUGCUGAGCAUUUUCGCUCACUCUUGCUAUUAUUUCUAACCCUUUCAGCUAGGGAUUAAGAAGAUUCGAUUGUUGAGCUGCGCGUAAGAAUAAUGCUAGGCGAGAUGCCAGGGAGAUGUUUGUGAGAAUGGCUAUGGUUAGAAUUGAUUUAUUUCAAUUCUGUUGUAAAUAGAUUUAUUUAUUGGUUAUCAGUUAUUCUUCUUAUCGAAGUUUAGCUGAUAAUGUCGUUUAAGCUGUGAUGAGAUUUAAGGUUUUGGUUUCUGAUUUCAAUGCUGUAACCUAUUAGCGAUCCUGUUUUUAGGGGGUCAAAGUGAUUUUGAUUUUAAUCUCUUUUAAAAUGUCCAGAUAUUUUAUAUAUCUGCUUUACCUUUUUCCGCAAAUACAGGUUUUCAAAUGAUUUUAUUUUAG